CAUGCAGUCGAGCGGUAAGGCCUUUCGGGGUCACGAGCGGCGAACGGGUGAGUAACACGUGGGUGAUCUGCCCUGCACUCUGGGAUAAGCUUGGGAAACUGGGUCUAAUACCGGAUAUGACCGCAUGCCGCAUGUUGUGUGGUGGAAAGAUUUAUCGGUGCAGGAUGGGCCCGCGGCCUAUCAGCUUGUUGGUGGGGUAAUGGCCUACCAAGGCGACGACGGGUAGCCGACCUGAGAGGGUGACCGGCCACACUGGGACUGAGACACGGCCCAGACUCCUACGGGAGGCGGCAGUGGGGAAUAUUG
rnacentral:rRNA from 1 species